AGUGGCAGACGGGUGAGUAACAUGUGGGUAUCUUCCCUAUGGUGAGGAAUAACACGAGGAAACUUGUGCUAAUACCUCAUAAGUCUUUACGGAGAAAGCUUUAUGCGCCAUUGGAUGAGCCCGCACUUGAUUAGUUUGUUGGUAGGGUAACGGCCUACCAAGACUGUGAUCAAUAGCUGAUUUGAGAGGAUGAUCAGCCACAUUGGGACUGAGACACGGCCCAAACUCCUACGGGAGGCAGCAGUAAGGAAUCUUGCACAAUGGAGGAAACUCUGAUGCAGCGAUGCCGCGUGAGUGAAGAAGGCCUUUGGGUUGUAAAGCUCUUUCGUCGGGGAAGAAAAUGACUGUACCCGAAUAAGAAGGUCCGGCUAACUUCGUGCCAGCAGCCGCGGUAAUACGAAGGGACCUAGCAUAGUUCGGAAUUACUGGGCUUAAAGAGUUCGUAGGUGGUUAAAAAAGUUGGUGGUGAAAUCCCAGAGCUUAACUCUGGAACUGCCAUCAAAACUUUUUAGCUAGAGUAUGAUAGAGGAAAGCAGAAUUUCUAGUGUAGAGGUGAAAUUCGUAGAUAUUAGAAAGAAUACCAAUUGCGAAGGCAGCUUUCUGGAUCAUUACUGACACUGAGGAACGAAAGCAUGGGUAGCGAAGAGGAUUAGAUACCCUCGUAGUCCAUGCCGUAAACGAUGUGUGUUAGACGUUGGAAAUUUAUUUUCAGUGUCGCAGCGAAAGCGAUAAACACACCGCCUGGG
rnacentral:rRNA from 1 species